rnacentral:rRNA from 1 species
CCUACGGGUGGCAGCAGUGAGGAAUAUUGGUCAAUGGUCGCGAGCCUGAACCAGCCAAGUAGCGUGAAGGAGGACUGCCCUACGGGUUGUAAACUUCUUUUAUAAAGGAAUAAAGUGAGGCACGUGUGCCUUUUUGUAUGUACUUGAUGAAUAAGGAUCGGCUAACUCCGUGCCAGCAGCCGCGGUAAUACGGAGGAUCCGAGCGUUAUCCGGAUUUAUUGGGUUUAAAGGGAGCGUAGAUGGGUUGUUAAGUCAGUUGUGAAAGUUUGCGGCUCAACCGUAGAAUUGCAUUUGAUACUGGCAGCCUUGAGUACAGUAGAGGUACGCGGAAUUCGUGGUGUAGCGGUGAAAUGCUUAGAUAUCACGAAGAACUCCGAUUGCGAAGGCAGCUUACUAACCUGCCACUGACAUUGAUGCUCGAAAGUGUGGGUAUCAAACAGGAUUAGAUACCCGUGUAGUC